rnacentral:rRNA from 1 species
GACGAGUCUCACAAACGUUAUUCGGAAUUACUGGGCUUAAAGGGUGCGUAGGCGGUGAAGUAAGUCGGAUGUGAAAUACCUUAGCUUAACUAGAGAACUGCACUCGAUACUACUUUGCUAGAGUAAGACAGAGGUGAGUGGAACUGAGGGUGGAGCGGUGAAAUGCGUUGAUAUCCUCAGGAACACCGGUGGCGAAGGCGGGUUGCUGGGCUGACACUGACGCUGAAGCGCGAAAGCUAGGGGAGCGAACGGG